CAGUCAUUUUGGGCAGCCGGAAGUAGUCACAAGGAGAGAAUCAUAAGGCUAAUUCAUAUUUGGCGUAUUGCAGCAUUGUUUAGUUUAAAGUCAUGUGAAAUGUCUUAUCGUAUUGUAACGUCUCUGUCAACAUAAGCUUGGUUUGGGAUGUCAGAGGAGGACUUUAAAAUCACUGGCGGAUAAAGACGUCAUCGAGCGUAUAUUUUCCAGACCUAUGCUUAUAAAUGUCCCUAACACUGACAGCCAUGAGCAACAGUGCAGGGACUGGAGGCCAGCAGGAAUGGUCGGGACCCGGGCAGACGCCGGGGCCUUCGCGGGGCCCCUAUAUUUCAGUCAUCACUAACAGGACCACCAACUUGCUGAUCCGAGGGGCCAUGCUGUUCUCUGUGGGAGUCUUCCUGUCCCUGGUGCUGAACUUACUUCAGGUGCAGAGAAACGUUACUCUCUUCCCCCCCGACGUCAUAAGCAGUAUCUUCUCCUCUGCCUGGUGGGUGCCACCUUGCUGUGGCACAGCCUCAGGUAUGUGAACACUUAUAUGA